rnacentral:rRNA from 1 species
AGCGAACGCUGGCGGCGUGCCUAAUACAUGCAAGUCGAACGAACAGAUGGGAGCUUGCUCCCUGAUGUUAGUGGCGGACGGGUGAGUAACACGUGGGUAACCUGCCUGUAAGAUUGGGAUAACUUCGGGAAAACGAAGCUAAUACCGGAUAAUAUAUGAAACCGCAUGGUUUCAUAUUUAAAGAUGGCUUUUGAUAUCACUUACAGAUGGACCCGGGGGGCAUUAGCUAGUUGGUGAGGUAACGGCUCACCAAGGCAACGAUGUGUAGCCGACCUGAGAGGGUGAUCGGCCACACUGGGACUGAGACACGGCCCAGACUCCCACGGGAGGCAGCAGUAGGGAAUCUUCCGCAAUGGACGAAAGUCUGACAGAGCAACGCCGCGUGAGCGAAGAAGGCCUUCGGGUCGUAAAGCUCUGUUGUUAGGGAAGAACAAGUACCGUUCGAAUAGGGCGGUACCUUGACGGUACCUGACGAGAAAGCCACGGCUAACUACGUGCCAGCAGCCGCAGUAACAC